CACAAAAAUACAAAAUAUAAAACACAAAAAUACAAAAUAUAAAACACAAAAAUACAAAAUAUAAAACACAAAAAUACAAAAUAUAAAACACAAAAAUACAAAAUAUAAAACACAAAAAUACAAAAUAUAAAACACAAAAAUACAAAAUAUAAAACACAAAAAUACAAAAUAUAAAACACAAAAUGUAAAAUACAAAAGUGGUUUUAUGCUGUCGCCUCUGGGCUUCCGUA